GAUGAACGCUCGCUACAGGCUUAACACAUGCAAGUCGAGGGGAAACGCCAUCGAAAGCUUGCUUUUGAUGGGCGUCGACCGGCGCACGGGUGAGUAACGCGUAUCCAACCUGCCCAUCACUUGGGAAUAACCUUGCGAAAGUAAGACUAAUACCCAAUGACAUCCCACGAAGACAUCUGAAUGGGAUUAAAGAUUUAUCGGUGAUGGAUGGGGAUGCGUCUGAUUAGCUUGUUGGCGGGGUAACGGCCCACCAAGGCAACGAUCAGCAGGGGUUCUGAGAGGAAGGUCCCCCACAUUGGAACUGAGACACGGUCCAAACUCCUACGGGAGGCAGCAGUGAGGAAUAUUGGUCAAUGGGCGAGAGCCUGAACCAGCCAAGUAGCGUGCAGGAUGACGGCCCUAUGGGUUGUAAACUGCUUUUAUAAGGGAAUAAAGUGGGUCUCGUGAGACUUUUUGCCUGUACCUUAUGAAUAAGGACCGGCUAAUUCCGUG
rnacentral:rRNA from 1 species